AUUGAACGCUAGCGGGAUGCCUUACACAUGCAAGUCGAACGGAGGGGCACAAGGGUGAGUAAUGUAUCGGAACGUGCCCAGUAGCGGUGGCUAACUACGCGAAAGCGUAGCUAAUACCGCAUAUUAUUGGAGAGGCCGAUAUCGGAUUAGCUAGUUGGUGGGGUAACGGGCAACCAAGGCGACGAUCCGUAGACGGUGUGAGAGGACUACCAGCCACAUUGGGACGGAGACACGGCCCAGACUCCUACGGGAGGACGAAGUAGGGAAUUUUGGCCAAUGGGGGAAACCAUGAUGCAGCCAGCCCGAGGGUGCGAUGAAGGCCUUCGGGUGGGAAGGCAGUUUUGGCAGGAAAGCGGUACCUGCAGAAUAAGCAACGGCUAACUACGUGCCAGCCGCCGCGGUAAUUC
rnacentral:rRNA from 1 species